GCCAAACAGCUAGCUUAACUAUUUUAUAAAUUAACAAUAUAAAUAAAAUAAAAUAAUAUUACACCAAAAACUAAACCAUUCUUUUACCUGAGUAUGGGAGACAGAAAAGGUCCACCAAAGCAAUAGAAACAGUACCGCAAGGGAAAGCUGAAAGAGAAAUGAAAUAACCCAUAAAAGCACUAAAAAGCAAAGACUAAACCU
rnacentral:rRNA from 1 species